ACCGACGCAAGCCGCCGCGUGCCCACGGAUGAACAGUGGCGAUUUGGCUCGGUUCCUCGCCGUCUUCUUCCUCCCUGCGCUCCCUUGGCCGCCUCUGCCCCAUGAGCUCUUCCUCCUGUUCCCUCUCGUCGCCUAACUCCGAGCUCAUGCGUGUGCACACGCGUCCGCGGCACCGGACACGCGUCCGCGGCGGCGCCAGCGCAGCACCUCGUCCCUCGGCUAUUUAAACCACUCCCAAGGCCUCCCGAGCUCACCAUCGCCCCUGCCUCACUCCUCUAGCCACGCCCAACAUCUUCCCUGAGCUCGAGAAGCUCUCGUGCCCCUCCCCUUGCCGAAGCCUCGCCGCCGGCCUCUGCUCAAAUUCGAGCUGGGCAGUGCCCCUCCCCCUCUCUUUCCACCACCAGUAGGCUCCUCCACCACCUAGACUUCGCCCCCGUGCUCUCCCUCCCCUCCGGUGGCCUUCUGCCAUGAGCUCGCCGCUGACCGAAGAUCGCCGUCCGCCGCGGCUGGCCUCCCGCUCAGCCGAGUCCUUCCCCGCGGCUGCAUCUUGCCUGGAUGGGACCGCCUCGGUUCCCAGAGCACAACGGUGGGUCGGGCGCCGCCGUUGAUGGCCGGAGCCGGCUGGGCGAGCCCCCCGCCGGCGACCUCCUUCUGGACCGCGGGUGAGACGAAGACGACGUUGACCCCGCCCCUGGGCGCCGCCUGUCGGCCUCUCCGCGCUGACCUGGCCGGCCCGCUGACGUGGAUAAGUGGAGGCGUAUUCCCCCUAAUGCGUCUCCCCUCCAUGGAAGCGUAUUCGUUCUCUCCUUCGGGCUGAAAUACGUUUCCCUUUCUGGAAAACGUAUUACCUGAGAAGGCGCUUUCCGUUUUUCUGGCUGAGGGCCUGUUUGUGAUGAUUUUAUUACAAAUAAGUCCCUGGCAGAAAAAUAGCUAUAUCUUUUUAACCGUAGCUCCAAAUCAGCCCCCUCCGAGAGAGAACGCUUUCCGGUGAUUCGUUCCGCGAGUUUCUCGCACUUUCUCCCGGUGAUUUCUUCCACCCCAGGCAAGCCACACCCUCCAUCUGCAUGAUUGCAAAGCAGUGACAUGGUUUAUUUAUUUAAACUUGUUUAAAAUAUUGUUCUAGCUACUUGAGAUUUGUUCAUGGCAUUCUCGGAGUAUUGUUUUGAUCUUGCUUUUGCCAUGAUAUUGCUUGGAGUUCUAGGACUUAUAUUUUGAUGAUUAUGUGGAUGACAUGUGCCUUUGGAUUCUUAGUGGCUAUUAUGAUUAUUUUCAUGAUGGUAUCUGGGAUUAUUUUGGAGUAUUACUUUGGAUAUCAUAUUGCCUUUGGAUUAUUAGUGGCUAGUGUUAUUUCCAUCGUGAUGCUAGAUGAUAUUAUGUUUUGGAGUAUGAUGUUGGAGAUGAUGCUUGCAUGUGGAUCAUAGUUGGAUAGUUAGUUCUUGAUAUUUGAGUAGUAGUCUUAUCGUUCUCGGAUUCAUCAUGAUAGUGGUGUUAUGCUGUCCUCGGAGUAUUUUGGUAAGACGAUAUUAAGCCUUGGAUUAUUUGUGGGAUAUUGCUAUGACUUGGAUUAUACACUACUAGGGAAAACCUUAUACAUAGAAAUUUAGCAGUAGCGCGUGUCAAAAAUGGGCGCUAGUGCUAAAUAGAAGUAGCGCACGUGCGAAAACCGCGCUAUAGAUACAAUAGUAGCAGUAGCGCGUGCACAUGAAAAAGUGCUACCACUAAUAUUCCCAUUGCUAAAACGACAGGCUACACAUAGCAGUAGCGGUCUUGAGAGAAGCGCGCUACCGCUAGGACAUAAGUAGCAGCGCGUUUCGCGCGGACAGCGCUACUGCUAAUGGAAAUAAAAUAAAAUGAAAAACAAAUGAAAAAGUAAAUGAAAAA